GUCUGGUGAUCACUGAUGGUCUGUGCUUGUCUGUAGUGGUCACUGAUACAUACUCAUGCAUGUGAAAACCUGAAGAC